AUUGAACGCUGGCGGCAGGCCUAACACAUGCAAGUCGAGCGGAUGACGGGAGCUUGCUCCUUGAUUCAGCGGCGGACGGGUGAGUAAUGCCUAGGAAUCUGCCUGGUAGUGGGGGACAACGUUUCGAAAGGAACGCUAAUACCGCAUACGUCCUACGGGAGAAAGCAGGGGACCUUCGGGCCUUGCGCUAUCAGAUGAGCCUAGGUCGGAUUAGCUAGUUGGUGGGGUAAUGGCUCACCAAGGCGACGAUCCGUAACUGGUCUGAGAGGAUGAUCAGUCACACUGGAACUGGGACACGGUCCAGACUCCAACGGGAGGCAGCAGUGGGGAAUAUUGGACAAUGGGCGAAAGCCUGAUCCAGCCAUGCCGCGUGUGUGAAGAAGGUCUUCGGAUUGUAAAGCACUUUAAGUUGGGAGGAAGGGCAGUAAGUUAAUACCUUGCUGUUUUGACGUUACCGACAGAAUAAGCACCGGCUAACUCUGUGCCAGCAGCCGCCGUAA
rnacentral:rRNA from 1 species